UUUGACACUUUAACUAACUCGACCGCCAUCUUGGAUUUGAUCCGUAAGAGAAACGCAGAAGGCCGUUUCCCGCGUUACUUGGAGCAUAUAAUAAUAUAAGCUGGCAGACUCAAGAGCACUGGCACUAUAAACCAUAAAUAGUGCCAAGGCUAGGGAGAGCAGGAAUCUGCUGUCGAUCGCGCUUUUCGUAUUGAUACCUCCUUCCAGAGGACAAGAGAUCCGGACACUGCGAAUUGCCCCGUCCGGUGACAGAGAACACGUCCAGGGACUGAAUUCAUUAGUCUUGAAUUCAGAUGGCACCCUCAUGUUCAGAUUCGAGGAUUACAAAACAUAUGGCUCUCAUGGGGUUGAUGUCACAAAUUUGCCAGAAGAUCACAGAUUGAACGUCAUCAUAAGGGAAUAUCUGGACAAAUACAGAGAUAUUCUUCUCGACGCCUCUGACGAUGGCACAACCAACAAUUUUCUUCUCCUGGUAAGUUAUGACUCUUCAG